AUGGCAGUUAAGGACCAGGAGAAGACGGCGUUCAUCACUCCCUUUGGAGCCUUCUGUUAUGUGUCUAUGCCUUUUGGACUCAAGAGUGCACAGGCGAUUUAUCAGCGUUGUGUGCAGAAUUGUCUUCAUAACCAGAUUGGGCGCAAUGUUCAUGCCUAUGUGGAUGAUAUCGUGGUUAAGUCCAGGGAGAAGGAGACCCUGGUAGAUGAUCUUAGAGAAACCUUUGAUAAUCUCCGGGUUUACAAGAUGAUGCUUAACCCGGCCAAGUGUGUUUUUGGUGUUCCCGCAGGCAAGCUCUUGGGUUUCCUGGUUUCUCAAAGAGGCAUUGAAGCUAACCCGGAAAAGAUCAAGGCAAUCACCUCUCUGGCUAAGCCGACGUGCAUAAACGACGUCCAGCGUCUGGCGGGCCGCAUCGCUGCUUUGAGCCGGUUUAUAAGCCGUUUGGGUGAAAAGGCCAUGCCACUGUACCAGUUGAUGAAGAAAACAGAUGACUUUGUCUGGAAUGAUGCUGCUAAUGCUGCCUUUGAGGAUUUGAAGAGACAGCUGGCUGAGCCCCCAGUUCUUGCUGCUCCAGUUGACAAGGAGCCCAUAUUACUGUAUGUAGCCGCUAACACACGAGCCGUCAGUGUGGCUGUGGUGGUGGAGCGCAAGGAAGAGGGCAAGGAGUAUCCGGUUCAGCGGCCGGUUUACUACGUUAGCGAGGUACUCAUUGAGUCCAAACAGCGGUAUCCACAUUGGCAGAAGCUUGUUUAUGGUGUGUUCAUGGCAAGUCGGAAGCUUAAGCAUUAUUUCCAGGGUCACCCCAUCACUGUGGUUAGUUCUGCUCCCCUAGGAGAUAUCAUCCAAAACAGAGAAGCCACAGGAAGAGUGGCUAAGUGGGCUAUAGAGCUUGGGCCUCAUGGUUUGAAAUAUGUGCCACGCACUGCUGUCAAAUCUCAAGCAUUGGUGGAUUUCAUCAACGAUUGGACAGAGCUGCAGGUGCCUCAAGAGAAACCGGAUAAUACAUACUGGACUAUUCACUUCGACGGGUCUAGGCAGUUGGAGGGCUCAGGGGCUGGAGUUGUAUUAACUUCCCCUCGAGGUGACAAGUUUCGUUAUGUGCAACGGUUGAUGUUUCCCUGUACUAACAAUGCAGCUGAGUACGAGGCCUUGCUCCAUGGUCUUCGGAUGGCUAAGGAGAUGCGCUUGAGCCGGGUAAGGUGCUUUGGCGACUCAGAUUUAGUGGCUCAACAAGUGUCAGGCAAGUGGGAUUCCAAGGACCCUCUCAUGGCGGCUUAUUGCCGUGAAGUUGAUGCCAUUGCUGGACACUUUCAGGGUUACCAAGUAGAGCACAUUGAUCGCAGGAAGAACGAGGCGGUUGAUGCAUUAAGCCGGCUGGGCUCUCAGCGAAAGCCGGUGCCGCCUAAUACUUUCUUGGACAUUUUGCAUAACCCUUCUGUUAAGUUGCCUACAGCGGAAGACUUGGCUAUCCCUGACCCGGAGGCGCAGUUAGUGGCGGCUCUCCACAUUAUCCCAGACUGGACAGUACCAUACUUGGCUUACAUGACCCGGGGAGAAUUGCCUGAGGAUGAAACUUUGGCCAGACAAAUAACCCGACGGUCUAAGUCAAUGAUAAUUGUCAAUGGCGAGCUGCAUCGUCGCAGUGUCACUGGAACUUUCCAGCGUUGUGUUUCCCCUGAGGAAGGUCAAGAAAUUUUGCGUGAGAUUCACCAGGGGGAUUGUGGCCAUCAUGCCGGCUCAAAAUCCCUUGUGGCCAAGGCUUUUCGUCAUGGUUUUUAUUGGCUAAUGGCUCAUGCUGAUGCGGAGGACUUGGUCAGUAAAUGUGACGGUUGUCAGAGGUUCUCGCGACGGGCUCAUGUGCCAGCUCAGGAGUUGAGGAUGAUUCCAAUUACUUGGCCAUUUGCGGUCUGGGGGCUUGAUAUGGUUGGGCCUUUUAAAAGGUCCAAGGAUAAGAAGACCCACCUCUUGGUGGCAGUUGACAAGUUCACAAAGUGGGUGGAGGUAGAGCCAGUUAGCAAGUGUGACGCGGCCACAGUUCAUGAAAAGGGUGAUAUUUCGCUUUGGUUUUCCACACAACAUUAUAAUUGA
rnacentral:rRNA from 1 species